CUUUGUGCGGGGCAGGGGGAGGGUCCUGGCCCGUCCCCCGAAGCCGCCGGCCGGUCCCCUCGCCCCGCGUCCGUCCCGCACCUCUCAACAAACGGACAACCCGGGAAGCCAGCACACUGAUGCAGCGUGUAUCUGAGGGACAAGCGCAAGGUCCUGAGUGGAGUUGACACCAGAGAGCUUCAGGUGUGAGGCGUCAGAGAACAGUACUUACCGUCAUUGCCCUGGCAUAGAUUUCUGCCAAGACACCCACUGCCACAUACACGUCCCACCCCUUCCGAUGACCAGACCCCACCCUGCUCACCUGAGACAUUGCCUGCCACGUAGAUGGCUAUUGUAACUGCCAGAGAACCAGCCAGAAACAUGGUGAAGAAGUUCCCUUUGGUUUCUCCACUGGUGACAGCCUGGGCCACAGCCCCCUGAGUGAGAAGCUGACAGGGAGAGAAAGUUACUGCCUACCAUGAGCACAAAUACACCCAGAAACUCUGCCAAGCACUGUCGGGCCAGGAGGCUGUGGAUCCGAAAGUAGCCCCUCAUUUUGGCCAGCAGCUGAUCCCGGACCAUGGUGGUGUCUUGCUAUCUCUGUCCACUGCUCUUCUGUGUGCAUAGGCACACAGCUCCUGCAUGCCAGGGGAAAAGAUAAGGAACAGACUUUAAAACCAAUUAUCUUGGCAGUUACUAUCUACGCAGAUGUGUAGAAUAGAGCUCACAGCUUUCUGUGCAUAUGUGGAAGCUGGAAUGUGAGAGGCCUGUCUGUGAGCAGGCUGUGUGCACCUCUGCCUGGAGUUUGCCCAGGAUCUCUCUCUCUCUUCUGUCCUUUAUCCCUAUUUCUCAUAGAACUAGCCUGAAUUGCAGAAAGUACCCUGCUUCAGAUACAUUAAUACUCUUGACCCUAAAGACAGCUGUGUACUAUUGAUCCCAUUGACAUAUGAGUAUACUGAGCCCUAUAAUUCCCCAGAAUCACAGUUAGUUAGUGAUUGAGGGAAUUCAAACUGGGUCUUCUAAUUCUCCAUCUGGUAUUCUACAAUGCCUCUCACCUGGAACAUGAAGCCUUUCCUCAAACCAUGUGGAUAUUUGAAGAACUCAAGGAGCAUCCAGAGAGACUGGGCUGAAGACUACAGACUGUGAAAAUGGAUCCCACAUGUUGAAUGCUUGUGCUUUCUUCAUGCAGGGUCUCAUGAUUAGAGGAUCUUUCUUUUCUUC